CUGCUGCCUUCCGUAGGAGUCUGGUCCGUGUCUCAGUACCAGUGUGGGGGACCUUCCUCUCAGAACCCCUACGCAUCGUCGCCUCGGUGGGCCGUUACCCCGCCGACUAGCUAAUGCGACGCAUGGCCAUCCUAUGCCGGAGUCGCCUCCUUUGACCCCAAGAAGAUGUCUCCUAAAGGUGUUAUGCGGUAUUAGACGGAAUUUCUUCCGCUUAUCCCCCUGCAUAGGGCAGGUUCCAUACGUGUUACUCACCCGUGCGCCGGUCCGG
rnacentral:rRNA from 1 species